rnacentral:rRNA from 1 species
AACGAACGCUGGCGGCAGGCUUAACACAUGCAAGUCGAACGCCCCGCAAGGGGAGUGGCAGACGGGUGAGUAACGCGUGGGAACGUGCCCUUCGCUUCGGAAUAGCCCCGGGAAACUGGGAGUAAUACCGAAUACGCCGUAUUGGGAAAGAUGUUAUCGGCGAAGGAUCGGCCCGCGUUAGAUUAGCGAGUUGGCGGUGUAAUGGACCACCAAGGCUACGAUCUAUAGCUGGUCUGAGCGGAUGAUCAGCCACACUGGGACUGAGACACGGCCCAGACUCCUACGGGAGGCAGCAGUGGGGAAUCUUGGACAAUGGGCGCAAGCCUGAGCCAGCCAUGCCGCGUGAGUGAAGAAGGCCUUAGGGUUGUAAAACUCUUUCGCCGGAGAAGAUAAUGACGGUAUCCGGAGAAGAAGCCCCGGCUAACUUCGUGCCAGCCGCCGCCGUAACAC